CAGUAGCCACGGGAAUACGUAGGUGGCAAGCGUUGUCCGGAAUUAUUGGGCGUAAAGGGCUCGCAGGCGGUUUCUUAAGUCUGAUGUGAAAGCCCCCGGCUCAACCGGGGAGGGUCAUUGGAAACUGGGAAACUCGAGUGCAGAAGAGGAGAGUGGAAUUCCACGUGUAGCGGUGAAAUGCGUAGAUAUAUGGAGGAACACCGGUGGCGAAGGCGACUCUCUGGUCUGUAACUGACGCUGAGGAGCGAAAGCGUGGGGAGCGAACAGGAUUAGAUACCCCGGUAGUCCCUGUCUCUUAUAC
rnacentral:rRNA from 1 species